rnacentral:lncRNA from 1 species
GGACACACAACCCAACGACGAGGCAAUCGACUUUUCAUGUCCUGUUUGUUCCGUGCUUUUACAAGAUGAAUGGAACAACCUGAAACAAAGGGCCCAAAUAUGCAAGAUUAAAUCUAUUAAGAGCACGUUGCCAUAGAAACAUAACAAAAUUUCUUUUAAGCAAUUAAAUUGAAGAUAAUUGUCGUGGUGGAGGAAACCAGACCACGAUGCUAUUAAACUAAAAAACAGUAAUACAUAUUCAAAAUUAGUUAUGAUAAAUUGGCAUGAAUCGAGGGUGAAACACAAAAAAAAACUUGUUGAAUAAAAAAUCAUGAAAACCCAAAUCAAAAUUAAUACGCAAUUACUAAAAUUUCUCGAUAAAACUACUUACCAGCAGAACUAACAACGCAUUUCUAUAAAUAAAAAUAACAGAAAACGCAAAGAAUGUGAUUAUUUAUGCAUUACUAAAAUUUACGUCUGCAAAUAACCUCAAUUCAGUAAAGGGGUUUACUGCAUUAACCAUCGAAUAAAAGAGUAGCAUAUACCCUUAGGAGUAGCUAGAUUGCAGGUGAAAGCUCGAAUAACUUCGAGUAAUUUCAUUUUCAGUUGAAAUUAAACCCCAACGUUUGGAGGGAAAGAGCAGUGUGCCUUUCCUCGUCAAAUUUGC